rnacentral:rRNA from 1 species
GGACCGUGUAUAAGUCUCCUGGAAUGGAGCGUCAUAGAGGGUGAGAAUCCCGUCUUUGACACGGACUACCAAGGCUUUGUGGUGCGCUCUCAAAGAGUCGUGUUGUUUGGGAAUGCAGCACUAAAUGGGUGGUAAAUUCCAUCUAAAGCUAAAUAUUGGCGAGAGACCGAUAGCGAACAAGUACCGUGAGGGAAAGAUGAAAAGAACUUUGGAAAGAGAGUUAAACAGUACGUGAAAUUGCUGAAAGGGAAACGCUUGAAGUCAGUCGCGUUGGCUAGGGAUCAACCUUGCUUUUGUGGGGUGUACUUCCUAAUCAACGGGUCAACAUCAGUUUUGAUCACUGGAAAAAGGCUAGUUGAAUGUGGCAUCUCCGGAUGUGUUAUAGCUUCUAGUCAUAUACAGUGGUUGGGACUGAGGAACUCAGCACGCCGCAAGGCCGGGUUUUUAACCACGUACGUGCUUAGGAUGUUGGCAUAAUGGCUUUAAGCGACCCGUCUUGAAACACGGACCAAGGAGUCUAACAUGCCUGCGAGUGUUUGGGUGGAAAACCCGAGCGCGUAAUGAAAGUGAAAGUUGAGAUCCCUGUCGUGGGGAGCAUCGACGCCCAUACCUGAUCUUCUGUGACGGAUAUGCGGUUGAGCAUGUAUGUUGGGACCCGAAAGAUGGUGAACUAUGCCUGAAUAGGGUGAAGCCAGAGGAAACUCUGGUGGAGGCUCGUAGC